GCCAUAUUGGAGCCCUGGAGCUGCGGCGGGCCGAGGCUUCGUGGGGCUCGUGGAGCUGAGAGGUGGCAUGGUGAGAAUGGUGUCGGACCCCUGCCCCAACCACUGAAUUUUCGUUACGUCCUGGAUUGCAAAGGACCUCAGAGCAAUCUUUGGUAGAUAACAUGAUCGCGAAGGAUUAUAGCUUUGGCCCUGAUAAUGACAAAGGAAGUAUCUACCAGAAGAAGUUAGCACUUAAUCUUUCUUACCCCACCAGAGAAUGUAAACGACAUUGAAAAGGGACUACAAGUAAGCAAUCUUACUCGGACUGAUGCUGAAUGAACUAAUGCUUGUAUUCAAAGUUGAUAACCAUGGAAAACUUUUAUUGGUACCUCUAUAUUAAUUGUGCAAAAUAAUGUGUUUCGUUGUGACAUCUUUAUGCAAGUAACGUUAGUUAACACGUUCAUCAACCCCUUCCCUUACCCACCAAUGAAAAUGCAUUCAGAUUACUUAAAGGACUUUGGAGCCUAUUUGCUCUGCAUCUCAAAUUACACCUUUUCCCCAGUAACUAAAACAGUACUGUGUGUUUGUUUUUCAGGUUCUGAGGUUCACUAGAGAAAGAUGCCAGAAGACCUGCUGAGGGUCUCUGAAAAGUUAAAAAUGCUGAUAUGCAUAAUUUGUGUAUUUUAUUUUUCCCUCCUGAGCUUUUCGAAGGAGAUGAAUAGCUUGGUGGUGAGGAUUCACACAGCACGGUCAAGACCCUGGAUUGGAUCCCUGGCACUGGUUGGUUUGUAUCAGUGAAAAUACACACUGUGCCUUUGUUAGAAGUUAAUAAAAUUCAGCUGACAUGUAGAUCUUCCUUUCAAAAAGCUAGGCAGGCUGCUUUUAAAAUUGCCAAAACACAAUAGGAACCCUCAAAGAUAUAUGGAGAUGACGGUAGUUAAUAGGCAGUUUUCAAAGACUUGGCUUAUGUUGUGAGAAGCAGCCCUGGAAGUGACAAAAGCCAUUCUUGUGACUUCAGCAACCUAAAAGCCUCAGAAAUAUGACGAUUCUUCUACCUGUAAUGAUGGAACUGCUACUUGGAUCAAGAAAAAGCAAAAAGAAAAAUUACAUUUUUGAGUAUGUUUUCUGCACAUAUCCCAAAGAAGUGCAGCAACCAUUGUCAUACAGACCUGGUGACAAAAGUUCUGUUUAAAGCACACCAUCUGUGCAUGAUUUCAUUAAACAUACCAGGACUUGGGAAGUUUGAGUUAAGAACUGGCUUGGGCAUUCCAAGGUCAUAUCUCAGAAAACAUCCUGGAUGCUGGGAUUAAAGGUAUGUACCACCAUUCCUAGCUUAGAAUUGCAUACAUUUUUAAGGCCUUAAAUGUAUAUAUUUAUGCUAUAGUAAUUAUCUCUAUUUUGUCUUUACAGUGUAACCGUUGAUGAACUCCACUCUCCGAGAAAAAUAAUACCAAGAUUUUUGGAGUUUAUAGCUCACAAUUCAACAGUUCUUAAUCCUUAUACACAUACAGAGAAAUUUUCACAUGCUUGUCCAGAAUGAAAAGCAAUGUAGACAAAAAAUUCUCUUUGAACAAACACAAUAGUAUAAGUGAAGAAUGAUUCCCAAGGCCCUCUGCUCCGCAUAGGAACCUUAGAUCAGAAUCUGACCCUAUCAGUACUGAUACUACUUAACUGUGAGUGGUCCUUAGUAACAGGUACUGAGCUCAGUGAUUCCUAGUGUCAACCUAGUGGGGCCUGGACUUGUUACAAUACACACAUAGACCACUGCUAAGUUCCAGGAGCUGAAUACUGCCUUGUUGAUCCUAAGCAUAUAGGAUAAAGAGCUUUCCCUUCCAGAACAGUUAAUAUGCCUGGGCCAUGUGGCACUGAAGUACAGCAGAUCUAUCACAGUUUUAAAA